CGGGAUUUAACGGAGUAGCCCUCACCUUAGCAAUAGGGAAAUGUGGUAUCUAUGAACUCCAGAUGCUCAAAUAGACUCCAAAUCUGAAAUCAGGGCGAAAAAUCGAGUCAGAACGCCUUUCGAACGGUUUAAAACGGGUCUGGUCAAGGUUUAUGGAAAAGUCAAUUCGAUGGUCAAAGGUCAAUCCGGUCAACCCUUGACCAGAAAUCAAUUUGUCCUAACCGACCGGUUUACCCUAACCGAAACGAAAUCAAUUUAAACCGGUCAAACCAGUCAAACCAGCGGUUAACCGAGUCAACCGAGUUGACUCACCGGGUCGACUCAGCCGAGUUGGCGAGUCGUCGGCGAGUCACCGGCGACGGUCACCGACGGCGACGGCGAUGGCUUACCGGUGGUGACGGCGGACGACGGCGGCGACAGAAGGCGGAGCACGGCGACAGCGACGGCGUUCCGGUGGUGGUCUGGCGGCGGAGACGAUUUCUGGCGGCGGCGCGUGUAACUCACGCGCGCACAGAGGCGAAACUUCCGGAUGCUCUAGCGGCUUCGUCCGGACUCCGAUUGCGGCGUGGUCGGUGGCUACGGCUUCGUCUCGACGAGAGGAACACGAUGGUGGCUCUGCAUGCGCGAGAUUCUCAACGGUUAAGAAGAUAUGGCCGAUAUACUGAACGGACGAAAACAAAGCUUAAGAGGCGGCGGUUUCCGACGAUACUCAGCUGCGGUUGAUGGUGAUGACGAGCUUGACGAUGUCCUGGCGUGCGGUGGCUCCGGCGAGGACUCCUGGUGGCAGCAUGCAGUGGUUCCUAUCUUUCUUUCUCUCACUCUCUCUUUUUCACUUCUUCUUCUCUCUAACUUUUCUGAUUUCUUUUUGAUGCAGGUGGAGAAAACAAUGUGAAAAUGGGGUAUUUAUAAACAAACAUUUUAGUUUUGAUGUAUUGCUUGGGCCUUAGCCGGCUAACGAGUUCCGAGAUCGAAAUUCGGAUCGUUACAAUUCUCCCCCACUUAUAAGGAAUUCGUCCCCGAAUUCAAGUCAUAAUCUGACAUGUCCAAUGUCAUCGUAACAAAACCUCGAAUAAUAAUCCUUGCUCGGCUCAGGUCUCCUCUUGAAUCUUAUUCCUCCCAACGAACCUUGACCAACAUCGUCACUAGAUACAUGGUCACCACUCCCUAGACUGAUUUCACUUGCUGACCAAUAAAGAGAUAUGUUCCCAUAUAUUUUGGUUAAGCUUCUUUAGAUUCCGAAUCUUUGAUUCUUCUUGAAACAUCCUCCUUCAGAUUUAUUAGGUCGCCAACUUCAAAAUCCAAAUCCUUACGGCGCUUAUCCACGUAACUCUUCUGACGGUCAUGGGCUUCCUAACCUAAGCUUCGAGCAUUUCCAUUUGCUCUACCGUCUCUUGAAUCAUUGCUGAUUCCAUCUCACGUCUCUCCCCCACUUUGGUCCAACAAAGUGGUGUACGACUAGACCCACCAUAAAAACCUCGACGAUACCAUCAUAAUACUCAAAUGAUAACAGGUAUAUCGCGAUGAAUCUUGAUCGUUCCCAAGCUCUCCAUAACAACAAUCUGAAUCUGCUUAUAUUUCGGUUAGAAGAUCCCCCAAAAAAAAACUAAAACUUAACCAAACGCGAACUCACAAAACUAUAAAAAGCUCUUAAGUCAAAUAAGGUGUGAGGUAACUCACACCAACCACAACCAAUCAUACACGAGAUUCACUAAUCUCGAACUAUACAAGAUAACCACAAAACCACAAAUAUUAACACAAGCAAGUAUGUUAAGAACACAUACCCGCUAUCGGCUCAGCUCCAUGGGGAUCUCCAACCGCAAACGCACGUGGAGCGAUGGCUAGACGCUUCGGUGGUGGUGGAAGUGCCGCAUUGCCCCUCCUCGGGCAAUCUCUGAUGAAGUGACCUGGAUGACCACAGCCAAAGCAGACAUGUGCCGCUGCUGGUGCUGCUGGUGCUGCAAUCUGUCUGACUGGUGGCGCAACCUGAGCAUCAAAUAGCCUACUCCGACAAACCCUACUCUUAUGUCCCAUCUUUCCACAGUAAAAGCACUGUAUGCUCGGUUUGUCCCAUGUCCUCUGCUGUGCCUCUGAAGUCCCUCCAAACUUAGGCUGAACUGCCUUGGAGUACUUCUGCUCCUCUGCCAAACCUGCCUCCUGCUCGGCAGCCUUCUCCACCAAAUCUCCCAAUCUGUGAUAAGUGACGACACGGCACCUGUUGCGAAUCUCCACUCGCAUCCCAUUCAAAAAUUUUCUCAUCAGGUCUUCCUCUAAAAUGCCCUCUCCAGCAAAUCUGCGAAGUUGGUUAAACACAACCUCAUACUCCCUGAUAGACAUCUCACCCUGGCUUACAUGCUCGAACUCGCAUUUCUUCCUAUCCAUAGCUUCCUUCGGAAAGUAUUUCCUAUCGAACUCUCGGAUGAAGUCUGCGAAGGUAAGCCUCUCUGGCCCAAGGUGACUCAAUCGUAUUCCCUCCCACCAUAUAAGAGCAUCUCCACGAAGGUACUGCAUAGUCAAUCUGAGCGACAACUCUGGUGGACACUCAAUAAUCUCCAGCUUCCGCUGCAAGGCUAACUUCCAAUCAUGUGCAGCUACAGCAUCCACUGUCCCACUAAAAUGCUCCAUAUCCAUGUUCCUCAUCUGACGCGUCAGCCUGUAGAACCUCUCAUCAUAAACCGGGUAAACAUGAGGUCGCGGUGGUGGUGGUGGUAGAUCCUGAACACCAUGAGCAAACUGCUGAGCUGGUCCGUGCUGCAGUGGAACCUGAGGAAGGGGAACCUGCUGAACGGGAUCCUGAUGAUCAUGCUGAGCGGGAAUCUGCUGAUCCUGCUGGACCUGAACCGGUGGAACUUGCUGAACCUGAAUCUGUGGACCCUGCUGCACCUGAACCUGAGGAGCCUGCUGAACUGCAGCCAUCUGACGAGCAACCUCCUGAGCAGCUACUCGGGCAACCUCCUGAGCGGCCUGCCUGGCUGCCUCCUGGGCAAUCUGCUGAAGUGCCUCCUGAGCGGCCUGUCUAGCGGCAUCCUGAACCAUCUGUCUCAAUGCAUCCUGAUCAACUGGUGGAGCCGCGGGUGGCGGAACUGCGGGCUGCUCAUGCUCAUCUAAAUCGUCUCUAACAGCUCUGGCGGUCUGGGCACGAGUGGUUCUUCUCCUUGGCGGCAUCUGAAAGGAAAGCGAAAUGUUAACUUACGCUCAACUUUCGAUACCAACAUUUAAGGAGAAGUGAUAUCGAACGGAAAGGUGCUAUUUAUUUUCGUUUACAAAAUUCCCAAAUCCCCGAAAAUAUUUGAAAUCAUCUAAAACCGUCUAAAACCGAAUAAAACCGAAUAAAACCAGGUCUCCAAAAAUCGCCAUCCCGGGUCGGAGCCGGGACAGAACCCCGCUCUGAUACCAAAACUGUGACGCCCGUCACUUUCGAAAUAAUAAUAAAAAUGAUGCGAUAAAUAAUAGUUUCUGAAAUCUUCAUUUAUAAAUAUAAAAGUCAACGUCCACGCUGUAAAUCCAUAAUAUAAAAUAACAUCCGAAAUAUAGAUAACGGUAUAAGUCCGAAAUAUAAAGACAACAUAAAUUCGUAAGUCUGAAAUAGGAAAUAACAUAAACGAUAAAAGCCCAAAGGCCUAAAAUCCCGAUAACGAUAAAAGCGAUAGAAGCCCAAAAGUCCAAUAGCACCGGUCCGAUAAUCACUCCUGCUCGUCGGUCUCACCUGAAAGGGGAAAGAAGGAGGGGUGAGCAACAGGGGAGUUGCCCAGCGAGGUAUGGGAUGCUAAACCGCAAACCACAGACUGAGUUCAUAGCACUACUAAAAUGUAGGCAUAGCUCUAGCAUGAAACAAACACGGUGCCUAUUACACCACACAGAACAAUCAAUAUGCGGCUAGAGGACUAGCCGUUACAACUCAUGCGCUUAUAGUACAUAGCUACUCUAUGCACCACGCAUCUCCUCAUAAGGAUAUAUACAUAUACUCGAAGCGUCGCUAGUACAGUCUGUCUCUGUACCCCCGCCCAUCGUAGCGUCAAAUGCAAACGUCUCUGCACCACGCCCCAAACAGUAGCGUCGAAGCUCAAACGUCUCUGAACUCACGCCCAUACCAUACCGUAGCGUCGAAGCUCAGACAUCUCUGAACUCACGCCCUCAUCACAUAAUCCCUACUCAUAACUAUGUAUAUACAUAUAUAUAGCAGUUCUUAGCAUCAAUCAUUUCACACAAUCGUUGAAUCCUCUAUUAUCCUAAUUCCGGUUAACAAUCAAUAUCAAUAAUGAACAAGCAAGACUCUCAAACAGACUCGAUUCACAGAGACGGAUCAUGUUUCGAAACUAAACUUUCCAUAAUGGUAGUACUAAACUAGCUCGGGAUUUAACGGAGUAGCCCUCACCUUAGCAAUAGGGAAAUGUGGUAUCUAUGAACUCCAGAUGCUCAAAUAGACUCCAAAUCUGAAAUCAGGGCGAAAAAUCGAGUCAGAACGCCUUUCGAACGGUUUAAAACGGGUCUGGUCAAGGUUUAUGGAAAAGUCAAUUCGAUGGUCAAAGGUCAAUCCGGUCAACCCUUGACCAGAAAUCAAUUUGUCCUAACCGACCGGUUUACCCUAACCGAAACGAAAUCAAUUUAAACCGGUCAAACCAGUCAAACCAGCGGUUAACCGAGUCAACCGAGUUGACUCACCGGGUCGACUCAGCCGAGUUGGCGAGUCGUCGGCGAGUCACCGGCGACGGUCACCGACGGCGACGGCGAUGGCUUACCGG
rnacentral:lncRNA from 1 species